CCUUCGAUAGCUCAGUUGGUAGAGCGGGGGACUGUAGAUUUAUAAUUGUGAUCCCUAAAUCGCUGGUUCGAAUCCGGCUCGAAAUU
rfam:Nematostella vectensis strain CH2 x CH6 NEMVEscaffold_253_Cont20989, whole genome shotgun sequence.